AUGUUUUAUAUUUUUCCUAUAAAUGACAUAGGUAAAGUUUGAAACAAGAUAAGUUAAUAACUGUAUAAUGACCUUCUAACUUUCUUCUCUGAAAAGAAGCACACAACCUAAGGAUAUGGUGAUUGACAUGGAGGUCUUCUUCAGGACCAUCCCACAGUGAUGAAAAUAAGAAUGAUCUCUAUUAAAAUAUCAGAACAAUACCAACAUAUAAGCAUACUUACUUUUAGACUGCUUUCACUCCUCUGUGGUUUCUUAUUAUGAGCUUCAGCUAUAAUUUCAAGGAAUUUGGAAACUUGAGUUUAUCUAAAAUUAUAUUUUUAAUUAUCCACUGAAAUGAGGAUUGGUUUUAGGACUAUAAUAGAGACAAUACGUAUUGGCCUAGAUUCCAGCUGAUUAUUGUCUAUCUACAGGACUGGAAGAAAAAGAUGGAUAGAUUUACCUUGUAGGCUGUAGCUUCUCUGUUAGCAGAGUUGUUUUCACUAUGCUAAGCAGAAAAAUUGAGAGUGUAACUGUGCAGAUGUCUCACUGCUCUGUGGUUGCAGCCUGGAGGAAUGGCACAGUUAAGUAAUUUCUAAAUGAAGUACAAAUACACGAUCUAUUUUGAAAAUUUAUAAUGGUAUCACCAAGAGAUGAGAAAAUAAAUUCUGUGCAAAUUUCUAAUGAAGCCAUGAAAAUAGAUAACAAGACAUGAGGGAAGAUACAAACAAUCUCAGAGUAAUCUCUUCACCGGUCCUUGUUUGGAGGUAUUUAUCCCUGAAAAGCAAUCAAGCAUUUUAUGAGUGUCUUUAAAAAUGCAGGUGAAUAUGGCAGCAUGAAAUAAAACAGUGCCUUGUAGUUCACAACUACCCAAAAAUAGCUACUUUACAAUGUAAAACUUCUUGAAGCAGACAUCUCCUUAGCAUAUAUUAAACAAGUAAGAUAACUUACAUCCAGUUUAUUGUUUAGGUUUAUUCAGCAUAAACCUAGGGUCCAAGAAAGGAGGUAAACAUUGUAGAAAGCUUCCUAGUGGUAAGAGUAGCAGACCUCUGGAAUAGAUUCUCUGGGAAGGUUGGAGACCUUUGAGAAAGAUGAGUGUCAAGAACGACAUGGGAGCAGUGGAUCCUAUACGGGGACUAGUGCCUAUGGCCUCAAGGUUUCUCUGUUUUUUCUAAACAGAUGUACAAGAUGGAAGAGGGCUGUCACUAGCACAGACUGAGAGAACAUCAAAAGCUGCUUUAUAUCCAGUGACUGUUCUUAAAAACUUAAGAGAAAAUCUUCAGGUUGCCCAGACAGCAAAAAUCACAGGUGUUAUUAAUGAAGCAACUAACUUACAUUUUUCUAUUCCUGUGGAGAAGCCAGUAACAGUCAGGGAAACAGAUAGGUUAGGAAAAGGUGUCUACUCCUGUGCUUUCAACAAUGAAACUAAACAAAAAGGAAACAAUCCCACUUUUCUCCAUUGUCCAGUGCUUUUGAGCACCAGAAAUCUGCAGGCCCAAUUCUCUAUUAUGUGAUCUUGGUAAACAGGCAAACUGUUUUAGAGUCUAAUUUGAUACAACUUUUGAGUGUUUAAGGCCAACCACUCUGAAGGGAGGAUCCUAAAAGGAAAAUGUGGUGCUUUGAUUGUAUGUGUCUCUUUUGCAGGAUCUCUCUGUUCUGUCCAUGAUGAGCACACAUACAGUUUCCAUUAGUAUAAAAUUGUUGAUAGCAUCAGCAUCUCUCCUUGUUCUUCAGAAGCUAAGGGACAGAUUCUUCUGAUGUUUGCAAAUCCGGCUUUUGAAAAAGAAACUUGGGAUUUUUUCAAAUUCUCUUUAACAACAUUGAGUAAAGGAAGGUGAUUGAGCAAUUCAAUGCCAAGUAAGGUAAUCAUGUGGGGGAUAACUGAGGAGAUUGGGAAAGAUAAAAGUAGACAACUUUUUCACUUAUGCUUUUCUCCUUCUCUUUUUCCCCUGUUUUGAAUUCAUUUCGUACUUUGUAUAGGAUGGUAAUUUCCUGUUUGAAUGGCUGAAUGUCAAAAGAAUUAUUAAAUUGUACAUAGUUAUCUUAUUCUGUUCUCUUACAUCAUGAGUUUUCUCAUUAUACUGAAAUUUGAAAAUCCUGAUAUUAAAGUUGUGCAAUUACAUUUUUUAGGCAUAGCACAUUAUGUUUUUAUUAAAACUCAUCCAACGUGAUCACCUAUAAAAUAUUUAGAGUAUGAUAAGAAGUAUUGCUUAAUCUGCUUUAAUUUAUCUCUUACAUACAACUAGAUCUACAAUUUUAUAUACAUAUUAAAACAUCUAAUUUUAUUCUACUUGCUUUAAUCAUGUUUAUUAUUGUAAAAAAAAAAAAUAGUGGAUAAUUACCUGUGGAAGACAUGCAGGGAAAUUUCAU